rnacentral:lncRNA from 1 species
UAAACACUUGCACAUUUAUUGCUGUAAUAUGACAAUUGAAUAAUUUGAUAUAAUAAAUUUUCAGAAUAAAUUUAAUUGUAGAAAUAAAAAAUAUAUGGCCAGGUCUCAUACUAGGAAUCUCUGCAACCCAAGUGGCAGUGUUGUUCUUAGAUAUUCUUUUCAUUUUGAAUACUGGCUUGAUGUCUGUUUUCUUGGUAAAAAUUGAUUUAUUACAUUUAAUUAAGUUAUUAGCCUCCUCUUCCAUGUCCCGAUCAUUUGGAAUAGAAGGAAUUAUAAUCUUUGGAGUCUCAGUCUGGGUUGUCAAGCAGAAAACUGUUUCUUCCUUUAUUUAUCCCUCCUGGCAGUCUAUUUGCAUCUUCCAGAGUAGCAAACUAAUAGGCACACUAUAUUUAGUGAGCCUGGUAGAUCUGAUUUGAAUUCCAAGGUUUGUGAUAUCAACAUUCUUCUUCAAUUCUCUUAAUUUAUUUGGUUGCCUACUGUUUUAUUUACUAAUGUUUAAACUAGCACUACAAGAUCAAUAUCACAUUGAAUGAAUUGUUUCAUAACAGUUGCAAAACUGUUCUUUUUCUAGAGAGGCAUCAUUGCCUCAGUUUCUGUUGAAGAAUCACACAAAGUUACAUCAGUCUAUAUGUGGACUUCUUCACUAUUCUCAUAAAUUAAAGUUUUUUGACAAUAGCAUAUUCAAAAACUCAUCACCAAGUUCUAUUACCAAAUCAUGUAACUCCACUGCAAGCAUGGUAACCUUCUCUCUGAUCUCAGUUUUAAUAUUUCUGCUAUUAUUAACCAGCUCUUUGAUUCUAUCAAUCAUGUCGUGAUAACAUCUACACCAUUCAUAAUAUAUCUCAGUGUCUGGUAAUUCAGGAUUAAUAAAUGUAUUUUUACUAUAUUUAUCAACUACUAGUUUAUAUUUACUAAACUCUUUUUAUG